UCGGCCGUGUAAGUGCAGCAUUGUUAGGCGCGAAUCUGCACCCCGCCCUCGAAUUCUAGUGAAACGCGUCGCGGUUUCACUCUUCUCCAAUCUACAGUACAGAGAACUUUCAUCUAAUCCAGCAGGAAGACAUUUGCUGAACUAACGUUAUAUUUCUGGCCACGUAUAAAAAGAACCAGAGAUGUCUUACGUGCGCGCUUCAUUUGCAGUCGUUUGUUACUUUAGUAUUUUGCAAUCUCACUUUAAUAUGUAAUUUGUGAGAUGACAAAUGGAGCUUCUGACUGCAUCUGUUCGCUGGACUUUAUUUAAAAUUAACAACUAUUUGCAUUUUUCUUGACCAACAGCUGCCGUCAUGCCGGUGAAAGUUCAAUAUCAUGAUGCAUUCCAAGAUUUUCUGAAUGAAGUCACACACAAGAUCCUCAACCUCCAGCACAUGUACUCAUUCUUUGUCUGACCAUAAAGAGACAGCAGCGCCAAACCAGCAAACAAAGGCCAGCAACAGAUUUAGCAUAGAUGUUAUGGCAAAAAGAUUGUCCAUGAUGCCCUGAAAAAAUAAUCCAGUGACGAGAAAGAAGACUACGAUGAGACAGACUUGUGCAUUUCCAUAAGUCCUGCACCUGCACCAGUACUGAAGGCCAUCUCAGUCGGAGGGAGGACCACCAGCCAUUCCUACUGGUAUUGAGAAGGAUCAAGGGCAGGAUCGACAUUCUUUGUGGUUGAAGAAGCACCUCAACUCUUCUGAAGGAACCAGCUACUUGAGUGCUAUCGAACUUUAAGUCUACUGUUUCUACCUGCUGUGUAUGUAGGUCCUUUAUCUUUAUCUUCCUGCUAUACUCUACAAAACUGAUGUUGGUCUUACCAGUGAGUCUCCCAAAGUAAAGGAAUUGCAUGCAAAGCAUUGACAAUCUUUUGACAACAUCUUUUCGGAGCAUCAUGUAUUUAAAGUACAGAUAUUGGAAGUAGAGAGUACGUUUAACUGCUAACAUUUUGAAGUUCUAUAGGUCUUUUGACCUGCAGAGUUCACAUGGGUGAAUUUGAUGAAUAUUUCAACUUAUGUGACGUGUCAUUGUUGAAAAAGGUUCAAACUGAUACAACGUAUUGGCUGUUAUUUAAUGCACACAUUGUGUUUUUAGUUGAACUGAAUACAGAUUACAUUUAAUGACAAAUCAGGGUUUGUAUGAACACCGUAUUAGUGUACUCUUGGUGUUGACACAUCUGGUGUAGUUUUAACACUAGCAGUGUAAAUGAGGGGGAAAAAACACCAAUAAUUGUGGUAAUUAUGAACACUUAGUGUUUUAACUCCAUACAAGUGUUAAAGCAACACUGAGUGUGAAUUCAACACUUUAAAAUUUGCUGUGUUCUAUUGACCGUGCUAUGUGUUGAUUUGAGUUUGCACUGUUUAAAUGUUCAUGAUAACAAAUGUUAUUUAGAGCGACUAGAACAGAGAUUGUUACAAUUAUUUCACGCUGAAAUGAGGAUAUUUGCAUGGUUAAAAAAGCAAUGUUUGGCACGUGUGUGGUGAGUCUCGCGUGAGUUUGAAAGCGAGGUUACCUCGUGAGUGAUGGUCUGUGAUGGUUUGCGCUGCAACUAAAACCUUUAAUUUCGGUUUUACAGAAUAAAUUCACUUUAAAUGUGCAACCACCCUUGUGAUUUAUGCACUGCACAUUGGGAAGGGUUACAGUCACAGCCUGACCAGUUAAAAAGAGUGGUCAAACCCCCUCAAAACUAGCCUGCUAGACCAGCUAUGAGCAGCCUGGAAGACAGCAACUCAUCUGAUCCUCCAGACUCUAGCAAUCCUGUUCAGCUCCAGCAGAGUUACAUUGGGGUCAGUGCGUGUGUUCAGUGAGGUUUUGGCAGCCACUAGAUGGCGCCCUGGCAGUGUCAGACAUCUGAAAUUAUCUAAAGCACUGAGAACUACAGUGAAUAGAAGUUAGUGUGCGUGUUUGGAGAUGGGUCUGUGUUCCAGUCAGUAAAUUUCAAGUUUUAAAAUGAAUAUGGAAAGUACGUAUAUAAAGGGUUCUGCAGAUGGUUAACUGUUCUAAUAGACCAAUAUCAUUAUUAUGAUCUAUAUUUUUGUUAUCUUACCUUCACAUUUAACACAUCAUGCAUUAACAUUCAUGGCCUCAAAACUUAAGGUCUGAGGGAAAAAAAUUACACCCCCUGAUAGCACACGUUCAUCUCAGAGACGACCAUUUACAUCUGUGUUUGUUCAUCUGCAAUACGUCUCUCUAAGCCUAAGACUGCUCUAAGACUAACUGCUUUUUCUAAUAUGUUUAUCAGAUGUUUUCACACAGCAGAUGUUUUCCAGAUUUCUAGAUCUUUAGCAGACAUCUUAGAGAAGUACCUGCAUCUGUGGAUCAAAACACAAAUGAUGAAAUGACUGUGGUGUCAUCAGCCAGUUUUUCCCCUUCAGAACACCCAGAUACAGUCUUAAUACUGUAUAAUACUUAAUACUGUCUUAAUAUUCACGUGAAAGAGCACCGGAGGUGAUACGUCAAAACUUUUUUUGUAUUUGAAUGCUCUUUUACCUGAAUAUUAUGACACAAGUGAAGCACAAAACUAUUUUUACAAAUUAAAUAAUAGGCUGGCAAGUAAAUGUUACAUCGCAGCCGUGAAAACAUUUGGAUUCAUGACAAAUGAAAGGUACGUGAGCCCAUAAAUUUAAGCUUUGUCAGCUUUGAAUUCUGUUUUGCGAUCUGGUCACCCGAUUAUCAGUAAAUUUAACAGUAUUCCAGUAGUUAUUUCACUGAACAUGGAAGCCCUAGUUGUAAGAGCAGUAAGGGGAACAUCUUACUGCAUUAUUUGCAAAGACCUCAUCUACAUCAAAAUAAACUGAAAGACAACUCACAACACAUGAAAACUCUGAAUUUCUUGUGCAGCUGCAGUUUGUCUGUGAAUCUCUCGUCGGCUUCAGCGUAUGUCAUCUCUUUGGUCCCUCCAGUCAUUUGCGCAAUGAGGAGAUCUUGAUCUCCAAACAUCCACAGGAUCAGAUCAUCUUUCUGUACUUCAGUAUCAGGGUUUAGAGUCACAUUCUUUCCCUCCUUCCCCAAAGUCAUCCUCGCUUUAUUUGUGACAGCACAACAUAGAAAAUGAGAAAAACAAGAGUUCCCAUUAAAUCAAGUGUGUGAAUUUGAACAUUAGCUACAAACAUCAUGCAGAUGCCAUUAUAUCAAUUUGAAAAAGACAUCUGCUUCAUGUUAUACAAAAACUUCAUAUUGCUGUUUUAGGGUAUGUUCACACGACACUGCACAAUGCAUAUGACAACAAUGUUAGGAGUUUCCCAUUCAGACGCAACAUUUAUGGGAGGAGAGUUUUUAAAUGAAUCACACAAUGCCAGGCAUUUACUGGUUUCUUCUAGUCAAUUUACUGGUAUUUGUGCCAUUAUUUAAAGGGAUAGUUCACCCAAAAAUGAAAAUUCUGUCAUCAUUUAUUCACCCUCAGGUUGUUCCAAACCUGUACAAAUUUCUUUGUUCUGCUGAACACAAAGGAAGAUAUUUUGAAGAAUGUGUUAAACUGAACUGUUUAGGGGCACCAUUCACUUCCAUAGUAUUGUUUUUUUCUACUAUGGAAGUCAAUGGUGCCCCAAAGCAGCCUAGUUACAAACUUUCUUCAAAAUAUCUUAUAUGGUGAGAAGAGAAUUGAUAUCCUGUUACAUCUGUUGACUAAACUCAAAUUAUUAAAAGUAUUGAGAAUAUUAUAAAAUGAUAGAGAAUUCUGUGAUGAUACUGAUCAUUUUAUUCAAAAGAUCACAGUGAUUUCUACUGAAUCGGAUUUAUUCUGUCAUGUUUUCAGCUCGUCUGCCUGUUCCUGUCAUCAGUAGUAACUCUUCAUCAUCAUCAUCAUGUUCAUUGGUGUGUUCAGCUGUGAAUGUGAGUCAUGUGACUCUCUCCUGGUACAAAGGAAACAUUCAUUUGUCCAGCAUCAGAGUGUCUGAUCUCAGCAGCCGGUCUGAUCUUCUUCUCCAUCUGGAGUGUGUGGAUGAUUCCUACAGCUGUGUGCUGAACAAUCCCAUCAGAAACCAGACUCAACACCUCAACAACACUCAACUCUGUCACACAUGUGCAGAACACAGUAUCCACUGUUGUGGCUUUACUGAAGCUGUGAUCUGAUUGGCUCUCUCUGCUCUGGUGGGCGUGGCUACUGUGGUUGUUCUGGUUUAUGACAUCAGGGACCAUAUUCACAAAACAUCUUAAGGCUAAAACUAGCUCCUAAAUCUGUGAAACACUAGGAGUAGUCAAGAGAACUCCUAAAUCACUAAGACGAAAUCACAAACAAUCCUAAUCCUAAUGGCCGUUGCUGCCAAUCCGCCUCAGCAAUCCACCCAAAGACACUGUACACCAUUGACACUAUUGAGGCAAUAGCGAUAAAGCCUUAGGUGCUGAACCUUCUUCAUAAAUGCAAUACAUAUUUUGAUUUAUAGAUUUUAAUCUACCAUAAAACGGCAAAAAUAAAUAUUUAAUAAAUAAAUAAAUAUUGUCCGAUUAGCUGUGGCAGUUGUUUUAACUAGUUCACACUUACAACAAAUGAUCGAAUAGAAUAAAAAAUUAUAAUAAGCGUAUUUGGCGUGCUGUCCAAGAGGAUCGAGGGCUCCGAGCUUGGAAUUUAGCACAAGUUCUUCCCGUAUCCCCAGCCGAGAGUGAGGAACGGGGUGGUGGAGGGAUGCAGAAAACUGUCAAGGAAACUAUAGGUGAAUCUCUCGUCUGUGUAUAUACAGUAUACCUCCACUCGAGCCGAUUAGACAGACCGUUUGAACAUGCUCCUCCCAAACUUUGUUUGUAAAACAUCAUUUGUCGCUUGAAUUCUGCAUUCUCUUGAGAUGAAGACAUGUGAGAGGCUGACAAUUAGCUGAACAUAUACUAGUUUAAUUAAUUAAUGACACUCAGCCUACAUUUUAAAACCUUUAUUAAAAAAUAUUUAUUUGAAUAGGGCAACAUUUGUAUUUUAAAAUCUUUAUUUAAUAUGGAAACAUGACACCUCAUUCUACCAUAUUUCUAUGAUUAAAUCGCUGACUCCUCCCCCAUCAGCCAAUCACUGUGUGUUUACUCCAUAGCAACAAGGUCAACCCCGCCUUUACUCUUAUCUUAAGACUUCUCUCUGUUCUUUAGUAAAAGUUUGUCUGUGCAGCUUUGUGAACAGGUUUUAAGAAAAAACUCUUAGCUAAAAACUUUUACUGCCAUUUAGGAGAACUCUUAGUGGUAAGAUAAAAUGUUUUGUGAAUACGACCCCUGAUCCAGAAGUCUUCAACAGAAGAAGAGCGUCCAGAAAUAACCAUCAGACUCUGAUUAAUCAGAUACUCAGGAAGGAUAUCCUGCAUUCUCCAAAACACUUGGGACCCGUUGUGAGGAAAUUGCUGACAAAAAGAGCUACAGAGGAGGAUAAUGUGGUGUACGCAGGAGUCUCGAGAUGUUGAUCGGAUCUUGAUCAUUUGAAAGAUUUCCCAAUAAUUAAAGUUAUAUAUAAAUACCGGCCUGCAUCAUAUUAGCUGAAUGACAUCCAGCACUUGUUUUGUAUUGUAUUUGAUAUUCAACAGUGCUUUGAUCUGCAUUGACACUAUUCUUUUAAGAGCUGCUGUGCAGCCAAACAAUGUACCAGUUAUCAAUGUAAAGCUGCUUUGACACAAUCUACAUUGUAAAAAGCGCUAUAUAAAUAAAGGUGACUUGACUUGA